GGAUGAGAUGGGCGAAAGCCUGACGGAGCGACACCGCGUGCAGGAUGAAGGCCCUCGGGUUGUAAACUGCUGUCAGGUUCUAGGAAUCGCUUGGCGUGAAUAGCGCCAAGUUUGACUAAGACCAAAGGAAGCAACGGCUAACUCUGUGCCAGCAGCCGCGGUAAGACAGAGGUUGCAAACGUUGUUCGGAAUUACUGGGCAUAAAGCGCACGUAGGCGGUUCGUUAAGUCAUGUGUGAAAUCCCCCGGCU
rnacentral:rRNA from 1 species